GAAUGAUUUAUAAAGUUAGUUUGAUGCUGCCAUUUCUACCCGGCGGAGAAUCUAGGAUAGUGUUGCUACUGUAGCAGGCCUUGAAACAAAUAACGUUAGAGCUAGCUAGCUUUCUCCAUAUCAAACUAAUAGCUACAACUUGGCCUCAUCAUGUUCUUCCUAUGUAGCCUAGCUAUUUGGUUAUUAGUAUUCGCUUGCAUAGACUAGAUGUAAAUUGUUAGCUAAAUAUAUUUAACUAAAUGUAGAUCAUUAUCUUUCUGGCCAGAUCAGUGCUUGUGAAAAGUGAUGGCGUGUUUGUCUAUUGCUAGUUUGUCGUUAGCUCAACUUGGCGAACUAGCUAGUUCACAACAGUACUAGAGAUGGCAAUAUAAGUUUAGACUUAUGUGUUGGCCUGUCUAUUUGUAGCCUAGCUACGACCUGCCUGCCCUCAUUCUAUAUUACACCCCACAAGCCUUAUCAAGGAACGUAGACUGCGUCCAAUCUUAUAAAAUGAGAUCUAAAGUACAGUUACAGCAGUUUACUCAACUUCCCUAUACAAAACAAUAACAGCAGCAACCAAUAACAAACCAUUCUUUCAAAUGGAGAACUGCAACUGAUUACCAAUUGCAACACGUCUUUAAUUUUUAACUUCAGUCCAAUGACGUCGAAAUAUUUCAGGGUAGGCAGGUUCUCUUGAGAGAUGAUGUAACUAUACCAAGGUAUUUCACCUGUGGGAAAUGGGUCAUGGCUAACAGAACACUGUUUCUUCUCAGGAAAAAGUUGAAGGAUUCACGCAAGGAGCGGCUCUCCUACCGUGUAUCUACAACGACAAGGUUGUUAAAGAAUUUAACAUAUUCUGGCGG